UUACACAUGCAAGUCGAGCGGAAAGGCCCUUCGGGGUACUCGAGCGGCGAACGGGUGAGUAACACGUGAGUAACCUGCCCCUGACUCUGGGAUAAGCCUGGGAAACCGGGUCUAAUACCGGAUACGACCAUUUCUCGCAUGGGAUGGUGGUGGAAAGUUUUUUCGGUUGGGGAUGGGCUCGCGGCCUAUCAGCUUGUUGGUGGGGUGAUGGCCUACCAAGGCGACGACGGGUAGCCGGCCUGAGAGGGCGACCGGCCACACUGGGACUGAGACACGGCCCAGACUCCUACGGGAGGCAGCAGUGGGGAAUAUUGCGCAAUGGGCGGAAGCCUGACGCAGCGACGCCGCGUGGGGGAUGACGGCCUUCGGGUUGUAAACCUCUUUCAGCAGGGACGAAGUUGACGUGUACCUGUAGAAGAAGCGCCGGCUAACUACGUGCCAGCAGCCGCGGUAAUACGUAGGGCGCGAGCGUUGUCCGGAAUUAUUGGGCGUAAAGAGCUCGUAGGUGGCUUGUUGCGUCUGCCGUGAAAGCCCGUGGCUUAACUACGGGUCUGCGGUGGAUACGGGCAGGCUAGAGGCUGGUAGGGGCAAGCGGAAUUCCUGGUGUAGCGGUGAAAUGCGCAGAUAUCAGGAGGAACACCGGUGGCGAAGGCGGCUUGCUGGGCCAGUUCUGACGCUGAGGAGCGAAAGCGUGGGGAGCGAACAGGAUUAGAUACCCUGGUAGUCCACGCUGUAAACGUUGGGCGCUAGGUGUGGGGGUCUUCCACGAUUCCUGUGCCGUAGCUAACGCAUUAAGCGCC
rnacentral:rRNA from 1 species